AACAAUUUGAUUUCUAUAUUAUGUACAAAUUGUACGUUAAUUUUCCAGUGUGCUAUAACGCCAAGGAAUAUAAACAUAUGUAUGUGCCGCUAGGUAACAGCCCAGCUCUUAAAAGACAGCUUACUCUAUCCUAUCAACUGCCACAAAUACAUAUAUACAAAACAAAUUCAAAUACAAUAGUUUUUUCUAGUUGUGUCGUUUAGUUCAGACCAAGUUCUAAUGAACGGGUCAAUAAAAUGAACUACUGAACUUCAGAGCAAACUCAGAGCAACUCGUGCAGUCUUUCAUAAACGAUGCAUAUCUACAUACGCGUCAAAAUAGCGACAUUUACUUAGCGUUGAUUUUUAGAUCUUAAAUUCGGAGCUGGAAAAAAUGACAUAGCAUCCAGGAGAUCACGACGUCUUGACACCCGCAAACUUUCUGGGAACAGCGCCAUCUUCGUCAUGCAUUGAUCCUCAUCCAAGGCAGCUUAACUUUAAUUUUGUACCCGUUGGCGCGAAGAAUAUUUAACGCUUCCUCAUCAGUGCUCUAAAUGGCGCACUCCUUAGCCAGGACCCUCCAUUAACGAUGUCGUCCUUGUAAAGGAUGAGAAUCUACUGCCGCUAAAGUGGCCACUAGCUAGAGUGCUAGAGCUGGUCUCGGGAUCUGAUUCAGACUGCGACUGGAGUCACACGCAGUGCCGUACGAAAGCUGUGUUUGCUGCCCAACCAGGAUGAUGACCAACGGUGGGAGAAUCUUUGGUCAAGUAACCAGCAGAGACCACACCGACGACUGCGUACAAUAACAGCAGAAAAACAAUCAUAAUUACAGCCUAAGAGCAAAUAAUGUUUCCGCGCUCUUUGUAAGCUGCUGCCCACUCUCUUUUGUUGGCCCUUUGCCUCCUGAAUUCACGCCCGCUGCCCAUCGUUCUGAGCGGAUCUCCAUUUCGUUCGCUUUACAAAUUGUUGGUCUUAAGUAUUUCCUAUGAUCGCAUCACAAGCACAACUAAUUCGAGUUGGCUGCCAGGCAAUAAUAUAAUAAUUAAUAGAUUCUAAUUAGUGCCCUGCGCGGCGAAUAAAUACAUUUGAAAUAAAAAAGAUAGGUCUAUGAAUGUGGCUGCUCACAAGCAGUAAGAAUAAAUUA